AUACGGAAGGUCCGGGCGUUAUCCGGAUUUAUUGGGUUUAAAGGGAGCGCAGGCGGAGAUGCAAGCGUGACGUCAAAUUUCGGGGCUCAACCCCGUCUCGCGUCGCGAACUGCGUCCCUUGGUUGCGGGAAGGGGAGGCGGAACUCGUGGUGUAGCGGUGAAAUGCAUAGAUAUCACGAAGAACUCCGAUCGCGAAGGCAGCCUUCCGGCCCGUCAACGACGCUCAUGCUCGAAGGUGCGGGUAUCAAACAGGAGUAGAUACCCUGGUAGUCCGCACAGUAAACGAUGGACACCCGCGGUUUGGCCUGUAUGGCUGAGCCGCCAAGCGAAAGCGUUAAGUGUCCCACCUGGGGAGUACGCCGGCAACGGUGAAACUCAAAGGAAUUGGCGGGU
rnacentral:rRNA from 1 species